rnacentral:rRNA from 1 species
AGCAGCCGCGGUAAUUCCAGCUCCAAUAGCGUAUAUUAAAGUUGCUGCAGUUAAAAAGCUCGUAGUUGAAUUUCGGGACCAUCAUGUUGGUCGUGCCUAGGUACGUACUGGCAUUGUUGGUUUCUCCCUUCUGACGAACCAUGAUGUCAUUUAUUUGGUGUUGUGGGGAAUCAGGACUGUUACUUUGAAAGAAUUAGAGUGUUUAAAGCAGGCUCACGCUUGAAUACAUUAGCAUGGAAUAAUGAAAUAGGACGUUUGAUUCUAUUUUGUUGGUUUCUAGGAUCGACGUAAUGAUUAAUAGGGAUAGUUGGGGGCAUUAGUAUUCAAUUGUCAGAGGUGAAAUUCUUGGAUUUAUUGAAGACUAACUACUACGAAAGCAUUUGCCAAGGAUGUUUUCAUUAAUCAAGAACGAAAGUUAGGGGAUCGAAGACGAUCAGAUACCGUCGUAGU